ACGAACGUAGCGACAAGGUGAGUAAGUCCUUUGAUUGUCCCAAGAGAGUAACCAUUUGGUGAGAGGUUACGUCAAUCUGCGACUGAAUAUGGCCUUGAUGAUCGCUCCACAGCUGAGCAGUUGCAAAGUUGUGGCGGGAACUCCCGUUAUAGAGCAAGGGUAUGCACUAACUAGUAAGUACUUAAUUACCGUCGUUAGUUGUACCCAUCGAGGAAUAUCUCGUGAGGGGUAUUCGAACUAAGGUGGUAACGCGAAAGCAUUUUCGUCCUUUUC
rnacentral:ncRNA from 1 species